rnacentral:rRNA from 1 species
UACGUAGGGUGCAAGCGUUGUCCGGAAUUAUUGGGCGUAAAGAGCUCGUAGGCGGUUUGUCGCGUCGGCUGUGAAAACCUGGGGCUUAACUCCGGGCCUGCAGCCGAUACGGGCAAGCUAGAGUUCGGCAGGGGAGACUGGAAUUCCCGGUGUAGUGGUGGAAUGCGUAGAUAUCGGGAGGAACACCAGUGGCGAAGGCGGUUGCCUGGGGCUUUGCUGACGCUGAUGCGCGAAAGCGUGGGGAGCGAUCCGG